GGCAAUGAGGGGUGAGGGUAACAGUUGGAGGCAUGCUUGUUGACGUGGCAGAGGUAGCGGUAGCAAUGCUCGUGGCUUUAGGGUUUUAGGGUUUCCCAGAUGUGUUUAAGAUAGUAGGCUUGGGUCUAUAUUUGGGCUUCUGGGUAGUUUAGGUAAUUGGGCUAGGGUAGUUUAGGUAAUUGGGCUUGUAAAUGGACUGGACUUUUUAUUUGUUUAUUUUUUGUUUUUGUUUUAUUAGGG
rnacentral:lncRNA from 1 species